AGAAUGCCAAGCAACAGUGUAACAUACCCGAUCUCCCGGUUAACUUCGCAUCUAGCAAAGAUGAACUUCACCAAAGCUUAUUGUUUCAUCACGGCGCAAGCGGCUACUAGGAGAUGGUUUGUUCCAGCCACCUUGGGUCUCUGGAGGAUGCAUCUCGUUCCAUUCGAGGUAAAUCAGAAUCGCCUGAAGGCACCGUUGAAAGAUGAUUGCCGGCAAACGAGAUGUGAAUUCGCUAGGGAGGUGAACUGCGUCAAUGCAACCUUCAUCAGCCACCUUCGCUCGCAGCGACGUACUCCACAUCUAUGGGAUACACAAAGCGAGAGGAAGAAGCAAGAAGGACGAAACAGCUAAAAAGACCUGAUCCUAUGUCCUCUGUGUACCGACGCCAGCACUAACCUUUUAUGGGUUAAAUGCCUAGUUGUAGGGCCCACGUAACCUACCAUCGGCCAGAUAUCCGUUGUCGGAGCUCUUCCAGCCGCAGCC